GUUAACUUUGUUUGAUGGCACAUAGCCUGAAGCUUCACGGUUUGUUUUGGUAUUGUUUAUUGUUUUGUCGGCAUCAUUUUGAUUAAUUAAAGAAAAUGUACGCUCACCACAAUGCACCUUGGUCCAGUUCUUCAAACAGCCGUGACAGAUCUUCCCACCCCCAACUGACCAAGCAGCGUGGUAAGGAGGAGCAGCGUGAAAGGGACUCCUGGACAUGGGAGCAGCGCUAUCUGGAGUAUGAGACAACCUGGGAGGAGAUAGAGAGGUGGUUGGUCGACCCAGGGAGAGUGCCGGAGCCCGCCUGGGAUUCUCUAGAACAGUGCGAGGAGGGAUGGCGACACGAAUACGGCUGGCAAGGAAGCCCGAGAGGCAGCCCCAAAAAGUUUUUUUUUCUGGGGGGCACACGGGAAGUGUGGCAGAGUCAGAUAGGAGACCUGAGCCAACUCCCCGUGCCUACCGUGGCGGGCGUUGUACUAAUCAGGCACCAUGUUAUGCGGUGGAGCGCACGGUGUCUCCAGUACGCUUUCCCAGCCCGGUGCGCUACAUCCCAGUUCCCCGCAUCUGCCGGGCUAGGGUGAGCAUCCAGCCAGGACAGAUUGUGCCAGCCCUGCUCUCCAGACCUCCAGUGCGCCUCCUCAGGCCAGGAUAUCCUGCGCUGGCUCUGCACUCUGUGUCCCCAGUGCGUCUGCACAGCCCAGUGCAUCCUGUGCCUGCGCCCCGCAUGUGCCGGGCGAAAGUCACCAUCCAGCCAGGACUGGUUGUGCAGGCUCUUAGCUCGAGACCUCCAGUGCGCCUCCACAGCCCAGUGUAUCCAGUGCCUCAGUUAAGGACAAGGCCUCCUGCAUGUCUCCCCAGCCUGCCUGGUGAGUCCUGUGCCUGCUCCCAGAGCCAGGCCUCCUGUGUGUCUCUCCACUCCAGUGAUGAUGCAUGGCACGAAGCCUCCAGUGAUGAUGCAUGGCACGAAGCCUCCAGUGAUGAUGCAUGGCACGAAGCCUCCAGUGAUGAUGCAUGGCACGAAGCCUCCAGUGAUGAUGCAUGGCAAGAAGCCGCCAGUGGCGAGAUAUGGCACGAAGCUUCACGGUUUGUUUUGGUAUUGUUUAUUGUUUUGUCGGCGUCAUUUUGAUUCAUUAAAGAAAAUGUAUGCUCACCAUGCUGCACCUUGGUCCAGUUCUUCAAACAGCCGUGACACGGUCGUCUGACGAAGAAGGAUCGGACCAAAGCACAGCGUCGUAAGUGUUCAUGAUUUUUAUGACCCAAAUC
ensembl:lncRNA